GAGGGCCUUUGAAUAAUAUUGGUACAUAAUAUAAAUUAUUCAUUCUAGAAGGUCAAGAGUCAAGCCACAUCCAAGUUUCUAAUACUUCUCAUCCCUGAAAAAUAAUAUUUUUGGUGGUGGGUAUCAAAUAGCUCAAUUGAAAAGUUUAAUAAAAGCAUAACAUUGUCUAGAAUCCAUUUAAUCCACCCAUUAUAAGGAAAAUAAACCUUUGAUUAUGCCAUUAUAAACAUGCCUCAUCAUACAGUUAUCCAGAUUUCCUAAAUUGAAAUGUUGAAAAGGACAAAAUAAAAAUCUUAAUGUGCAUUCUUAUUUCCAAAAUAUUUUUAAGUCUAAAGAACCGUCUCACUCAAUAAUUAUUUCCAUUUCGUAAGUGAUUUUUAAGUAAAAGUAUAAAGAAAAAGGUAUCCCAGCGUGCAUGGUAAGCACAGCAGAAUAUGGGAAUGGAUAGUAUGGUACUUCCAGUGCAGAGAGUUGUACCCUGCAUUGCAACUGCCUCCUCCAUAAAAUACGCAAUUAUUAUUUAGUCCUACGAAUUCAUUGUUUAAUCACUAAAAUAUGUCAUAUAAUCAUCACCUAAUUCAUAUUAUAAAAUUGUAAGUUAACAUUGCUAUCCACUAACAAACUUAACAAAGUAAAUUGAUCACUGGUCUGUAAUCAAGCUCACAUGAAUUAUUACUAUCUAAGGGUAUUUUGAACUAAGAUACAUACUAAUGGAAGAAAAAUGAAAAUGAAGCUGAAAAUAACAAAACCAUGAUGGGAUGUUGCUCAUA
rnacentral:misc_RNA from 1 species